rnacentral:rRNA from 1 species
CUUAGUGCGGACGGGUGAGUAACGCGUGGGUAACCUGCCUUGCACUGGGGGAGUAACACUUAGAAAUAGGUGCUAAUACCGCAUAAGCGCACGGUCCUGCAUGGGACAGUGUGAAAAACUCCGGUGGUGCAAGAUGGACCCGCGUCUGAUUAGCUGGUUGGCGGGGUAAAGGCCCACCAAGGCGACGAUCAGUAGCCGGCCUGAGAGGGUGGACGGCCACAUUGGGACUGAGACACGGCCCAAACUCCUACGGAAGGCAGCAG